rnacentral:rRNA from 1 species
UACGUAGGGGGCAAGCGUUGUCCGGAUUUAUUGGGCGUAAAGAGCGUGUAGGCGGCCAAGCAGGUCCGCUGUGAAAACUCGAGGCUCAACCUCGAGAGGUCGGUGGAAACCGUUUGGCUAGAGUCCGGAAGAGGAGAGUGGAAUUCCCGGUGUAGCGGUGAAAUGCGCAGAUAUCGGGAAGAACACCCGUGGCGAAGGCGGCUCUCUGGGACGGUACUGACGCUGAGACGCGAAAGCGUGGGGAGCAAACAGG